GAUGAACGCUAGCGGCAGGCCUAAUACAUGCAAGUCGAACGGUAACAUGAGAGCUUGCUCUUGAUGACGAGUGGCGCACGGGUGCGUAACGCGUAUGCAACCUACCCUUAACUGGGGGAUAGCCCGGAGAAAUUCGGAUUAAUACCCCAUAGUACAAUGAGAUAGCAUUUGAUUAUUGUUAAAGCUUCGGUGGUUAAGGAUGGGCAUGCGUUAGAUUAGCUAGUUGGUAAGGUAACGGCUUACCAAGGCAACGAUCUAUAGGGGGUCUGAGAGGAUGAUCCCCCACACUGGAACUGAGACACGGUCCAGACUCCUACGGGAGGCAGCAGUAGGGAAUAUUGGUCAAUGGAGGCAACUCUGAACCAGCCAUGCCGCGUGCAGGAAGACGGCCUUCUGGGUUGUAAACUGCUUUUAUUAGGGAAGAAACGCCUCAUGCGUGAGGAACUGACGGUACCUAAAGAAUAAGCACCGGCUAACUCCGUGCCAGCAGCCGCGGUAAUACGGAGGGUGCAAGCGUUGUCCGGAUUUAUUGGGUUUAAAGGGUGCGUAGGCGGUCUUUUAAGUCAGAGGUGAAAUCCCACAGCUUAACUGUGGAACUGCCUUUGAAACUGGAAGACUUGAGUAUAGUUGAGGUAGGCGGAAUUUAUGAUGUAGCGGUGAAAUGCAUAGAUAUCAUAAAGAACACCGAUUGCGAAGGCAGCUUACUGGACUAUAACUGACGCUGAGGCACGAAAGCAUGGGGAGCGAACAGGAUUAGAUACCCUGGUAGUCCAUGCCGUAAACGAUGAUCACUCGAUG
rnacentral:rRNA from 1 species